rnacentral:rRNA from 1 species
CGAACGCUGGCGGCGUGCUUAACACAUGCAAGUCGAACGCGAAAGUUUUCUUCGGGAAACGAGUAGAGUGGCGCACGGGUGAGUAACGCGUAAGUAAUCUACCCUGGCAUCUGGGAUAACUCAGCGAAAGCUGUGCUAAUACCUGAUACGCUGGAGACAGGAAAGGUGGCCUCUUCAUGAAAGCUACUGUGCCGGGAUGAGCUUGCGUACCAUUAGCUAGUUGGUGGGGUAAUGGCCUACCAAGGCAACGAUGGUUAGCGGGUCUGAGAGGAUGAUCCGCCACACUGGAACUGGAACACGGACCAGACUCCUACGGGAGGCAGCAGUGAGGAAUAUUGCGCAAUGGGGGAAACCCUGACGCAGCGACGCCGCGUGGAUGAUGAAGGCUUUCGAGUCGUAAAAUCCUGUCAGAUGGGAAGAAGUGUAUAUAUGUUAAUAUCAUAUAUAUUUGACGGUACCAUCAAAGGAAGCACCGGCUAACUCC